rnacentral:rRNA from 1 species
UUUAGGUAGCGCCUCGUGAACUCAUCUUCGGGGGUAGAGCACUGUUUCGGCUAGGGGGUCAUCCCGACUUACCAACCCGAUGCAAACUGCGAAUACCGAAGAAUGUUAUCACGGGAGACACACGGCGGGUGCUAACGUCCGUCGUGAAGAGGGAAACAACCCAGACCGCCAGCUAAGGUCCCAAAGUCACAGUUAAGUGGGAAACGAUGUGGGAAGGCCCAGACAGCCAGGAUGUUGGCUUAGAAGCAGCCAUCAUUUAAAGAAAGCGUAAUAGCUCACUGGUCGAGUCGGCCUGCGCGGAAGAUGUAACGGGGCUAAACCAUGCACCGAAGCUGCGGCAGCGACGCUGAUGCGUUGUUGGGUAGGGGAGCGUUCUGUAAGCCUGUGAAGGUGGCCUGUGAGGGUUGCUGGAGGUAUCAGAAGUGCGAAUGCUGACAUAAGUAACGAUAAAGCGGGUGAAAAGCCCGCUCGCCGGAAGACCAAGGGUUCCUGUCCAACGUUAAUCGGGGCAGGGUGAGUCGACCCCUAAGGCGAGGCCGAAAGGCGUAGUCGAUGGGAAACGGGUUAAUAUUCCCGUACUUGGUGUUACUGCGAAGGGGGGACGGAGAAGGCUAUGUUGGCCGGGCGACGGUUGUCCCGGUUUAAGCGUGUAGGCUGGUUUUCCAGGCAAAUCCGGAAAAUCAAGGCUGAGGCGUGAUGACGAGGC